rnacentral:lncRNA from 1 species
UUUUUUUUUUUUUUCUUUCAGUUCUUCAGACAGAAUAAUGGCAAUAAACUAUCUUCAAGCUCGCUGAUUCUUUCCUCCAUCAGUUCAAACCUGAUUAAAGCCUCUCUAGCAAAUUUUUCAUUUCAAUUUUUAUACUUUUUAACUCCAAAAUUUCUAUUUGGUUCUUUUUUAUAAUUUCUAUUUUUUAUUGGUAUUAUCUACAUGCAGAAGUAUUAUUCUUAUAUUUCCUUUAAUUAUUUAGAUAUACUGUCCAUUCUUUUAAAGUCUUUGUCUAGUGAGCCAACACCUGAGCUAUUUCAGGAACAGUUUCUUUUCACUGCUUUUCACCUGAGUGUGGGCCACACUUUCUUGUUUCUUUAGAAAACUGAACAGUUUAAAAAAUAUGAUGUUGUUUCUCUAGAAAUUGGUUUCCCCCCAGGCCAGGAUCUAUGGUUGAAGUUUUUUAUUUCUGUUUCUGCUUGUUUGAUUAUUGACUUGAACUAAUUCAGAAAACUCUAUAGUCUUUGUCAUGUAAAGCCACUUAAACUUCUAUUUUGAUACCAAAUUGUCUGCCCAUGAUUAGACAAAGAUAUCCUUAAAUGAUUUGAAUUAAUAAAUCUCCCUGCCUUUGCCAAGGAGCUCUGAAAGGAGGAAGGGAUACUUUCAUUGCUCAGCCAGUCAGGUGAGAAUUCCACUUUGGCCUUCACUUCCUGCCUACACAAAGUCAGCCAAAGGUGAGAGAUUAGAACUUUCUCAAGUCUUUCCUAGUCAUGUGCAUAGCCCUGCAGUUUCAUGUAGGCUUCUAGAUUCCCAGGAAUAUGUUGUAGCUUUUCAAAGCUCUCUGUAGAGAUCUCAUUCUCCAGUUUUUCUUUUUUAAUGUGCUUAGUUUCUUCAUAGCUUCAACUGUUAUUAGCAACUCAGUUACUAAGCCAAACAGUGUCACUGAUUGUUUUUAACCAAUAUUGUAAUGAAAAGGCCAUUUGUAUAGAGUAAGCUCUGAGUCAGGUCAAAUAAAGACAAACUAUGAAACAAGUCAAAUAAUGACAGUUUUCCAGGGAUGAGACCUAUGGGAGAUUCAAUACCCAUUUGCCCCCUUCAGUGACUUCCAGGCUACUCGUUUUCAUACCUACCAUAAUUAUGAGGCUGUUGGUGUUAGAGGCUACUACAGAAUGAGGAGAGUGGGAUGGGACAUGAGCAAGUUAAAAUACCACAACACUCAGCAUAUUCUUACCAUCUUCCUUGAAUAAACACUCUUUAGGUUACUGUAAGAGUUUGGUUAAUUUACAGAGUUCUGAAAAAGUUGUUCUUGGUAAUUUUUGCCAGUAUUCUCAUUGCUUUUAUGGAGUGAGGUUUAUUUUUUAAUGUCAUUACUCUACCAUUCUAAAGUUGCUUUCUUUCUUUGUAUUUUAAUGCGCAUAAACAUAUUUAUUCAAAGUUUGUCAUCAUGGCAUGAAUUGGGUUAAAACAUAAUGAUGGCAAGGAAUAUCAUUCCUUUUAAGGUCCAAAUGUGUGUUAGCCAAACCCAGAAGUGGGUUACUUUGGAAAUUAUCUUGUAGAAAAUUACUUAAAAUUAUAAACUUAACUUUAUCAGAAUACCAAUGCUGAUCCUCCAGUCAUUUAAAUUUCAGCAAAUAUUUUUGGAUUUCAGACUAUAUGCAAGGACCUGUGUCAGCUGCAAUGGGAAAUCCAAGGAUACAGUAAAUAAGGUCACUCUGAAAAGAUGUACGUAAUGUAAACAUGCCAUAAGCUAAAUCAUAAGACAAAAAUAUAUGUCUCCUACAUGUCCACAGGCAACACUAGCCCAAAGGUAACUAGGAUCACAGAUAUGCUAAAAAUAUGUAUAUAUUCUUUGCAUUUAUCUUCAUCUGUGAUUUAUAAAAACUCCAAGACUUAUUUUUAUACCUCAUAUCAUAUUUCUUCAAGAAAUCCUGAGCUUGGAGUUCCUGUCAUGGUUCAGUAGUUAACGAAUCCGACUAGGAACCGUGAGGUUGCGGGUUCAAUCCCUGGCCUUGCUCAGCGGGUUGAGGAUCUGGCAUUGCUGUGAGCUGUGGUGUAGGUUGCAGACGCAGCUCGGAUCCCGUGUUGCUGUGGCUCUGGUGUAGGCUGGCCGCUACAGCUCCGAUUCGACCCCUAGCCUGGGAACCUCCAUAUGCCACGGGUGCAGCCCUAAAAAGACAAAAAAAAAAAAAGAAACGAAAGAAAGAAAUCCUGAGCUCUUUGGGAGGUAUCCCACCCUUUAGAGGUGGCUUAACCCAGAAGCUGUCAGAUCUAGAAUAGAUAAGGAAUAAUUUUCAAGCUAAUCCAAUUAAGCAGAGUUUUAAUGGGCUAUAUGGCAAGAGUCUGGGCUCCACCAAGUAAAGGGUCUGUUUAUAUCUCCUAUCCAAGAAGGAAGUGAUUCUUUCUCCCAAAGGUAAUCCAAAUUCACUCCCUAUUCUUCUUGGUUUGGGCUUUGAACUUAGGCAAGCAAGAUUUUAUCCUGACUCUCUAUUUAUUAUCCUCGAGCUUUCACACAAUAUUCAUCACUUUAUGUCUGACUUGUAAAAUGGGAAUAAUGAUGCCUACUACUUGGGUUUAAGAAAGGAAUAAUAUAAAAUAUUUAUAUGACCUAUGGAAAAGGCUCCAUAAAUGCUUAUUCACAUUCUCAAAGCACAAAUCCCUUCUUGGAACAUCUAGGAGGGGAGGAGCUUCAUCCUGAUGGUUCAAUAGAUAUGUGAAGACAACUCUUUUGCAGCAUUGUCUCACCUCAAAUGUCACUUCCUCAGGGGGGCCUUCUCUGACAAUUCACCUGAAAGAUGGGUUACUCUUUGUCACUCUUUCCCAUUACAAGGGUAGCCAAUCAUCUCAGUUCGCCUGGACCAGAAGGGCUUCCUGGGAUGCAGGGCUUUCUGUGCUAAAGCCAGGAUAGUACUGUGUAAACUUGGAAAAGCUGGUCACCUUACCACCAUCCUGGUUUUUUUGUUUGUUUUUUUCAUAGUCUUUGCUACCCUCUAAUAUUAUUCAAUUCACCUGUUCCUUUUUUUUUUUUUUAUUUCCUUCAAACUCUAGCAUAAGCCCCCUGAGUAGAAGGUCAGGAUUAUGUCUGUGUAGUUCACAACUGUUUUUGGAUGCCCACAACACUACCUGGCACAUAAUGGGCAUUAAAUAACUAUUUGCAGAAGGAUUAAAUGAAUUGUUGAUUAAUUGACAUAUUUUAAAUGCUCACCUUUCUGCUUUCCAAGUUCAACAACAUUAGGGCAUAAGGAAUGUAAAGUUUUGUAUGACACCACAAUUGUUUUUUUAGAGAAGAAAACAUUCUUAGGGUUAUAACAACGGAGUGAGUUGUACACACUUGAACCUAUGUGGCAGUGAAAACUUCAGACAGCUGUGUUCCUUUUCUUCUAAUCCCAAACAAUAUAAUUAAAAAGGAUUCACUGAAAUGUAGACAUUUCUACCAUUUACCCUGGAAUGUUGGCUCCAUCCAACAUAACCUAGUCUGUAAAUACAAGAUUAGUGUCUGUGAAGGGAAAAUUCUCCUUCUAUAAAAUUGCAUUCAAAAGGAAAUCUCCACCUUUUUUCCCCUCUAUAGAAGCAGCAGCCUUACUUGUAAGACCCAUAAUUACCUUAAAUGUUCCACAAGGAUAUAAGAGCUACCAAUGUGAAAACACAAUCUGAGACCACAUCUUUGGAUUCAAAAAUGAGCUAGAUAAAGAUGAUGCCCUUUCCCCACUAUUAGUUUACUAUAUAAAUGAGAAGACAUAAAGUAGUUUUAGAUUUAAUUAAAGUAAUUGACUGAAUUGCAUUUUGUAGUUGUGAUUGUCAUUAACAUUCUUGACCUCCCUGUCACAUAGAUGUGCCAGAGAAUUUUUCCAAUGGAUAUUUAUUAUGAAUAUUAUCAUCAAUAAGCACCAUCAACAUAUUAAAAUUAAUUUUAACUUCUUUAUGGAAGACUGAAAGCACAACCAGCUGCUGGAAACCAUCCAUUUAAAUCAUUUUUUUAUCGAUUCAACACGGCGAAACCUCAAAUACAACUAAUAGGGAAUUUUAUGUGUGUGUAGGCAAGUUUCUAUAUGUAUAAAAUAUUUACUUUUAUUUUAUAACUAACUCUGGUUAUAUGAAACACAUAGCUGUAUUUUCCGGAGCUCUGGAUUCACAUGGUAUUCUGAGCGCUUACAGUACAGUCUUCCUGUUGGCUUGUUUUACAUCCACGUGCAUAUUAGUGACACAUGGACAUUUGGUCUUAUUUUGACUGCUUGCAAAGAGCUUAAUAAAAGACAGGCUUUGAAGCAUCAAAAGAACUUAGCCCACAGGUGUUCUGAGCUGGGCUAACUUGUAUGUAGAACAAACGAUUACACUCUGGAAUUUGAGACUCUAAAUUGUAUCAGUUGAGCACCUGUCCUGUAGGGAGGAAAACACCUUUCAUUAUAUUACUUGCAGGCACCUCGGCUCCAGGCUGUGUAGAGUUACAACAGCUCUUAUUCAGGCACGCUAGCUGAGGUGCUGCUGAUCCUUUGUGAAGGCUGCCAAGGACCUCCCACUGAACAUCUUCAGAGAAUAUCUCCAUCACCAUCUCUAUGUGCCAUCCACAGCUUUGUGCCUCUCCGCAACUCUUUCUACAUUUACCACUUACUGAACACCUCCUACAAGCCAGGCACUGGGCUAAAGAUUUUGCAUAUGGCAUUGUAUCUAGUUCUUCCCAGUGUCAUUGAAAGGUUUAGAAAGGUUACAUAAUGUGCCCACAAGCAUGUAAAUGUAAGUGGUGGAAUCAGGAUGCAAAACCAGGUCAUUGGACUCCAGAGCCCCAUGUUGAUCACCAUGCUCUUUCCUGUGCAGCAUCCAAGUUAUCACAAGCUCCAGGGAGUCUUCUGGCCUUCCUGCUGGCUUCCCAUAAAGGCCUUAGACUUUCAGCUUUCUUACAGCUUUACCUUCAGUCCUGAUCUGACCUUUCUCCCUCUUACUAGCUCCCUAACUGGUCCUAUCUAUUCCCAUCAUGACCCCAGUCACCAUCUACCAAAGUAAAAAUCUGCCUAUCUACCCAGGCCCUUCUGCUGUACUCCAGGCCUUGCUGCUCCCAUCUCCACUUGGCAGGGAAGGGGGUGGGGCAUUUCCUGGAUGGCCCCAGCACUGUCCUUCUAGAACUGACCUGAGUGAGCAUCUUUUGCAGCCAGCCUGCACUUCCUCCAACUUGGCGGCAAUAGGACGUCCAUCUAGGCCAGUGUCCUGGACUCCUCUCUUGCCCUCUUCCUUUUCUUCGUCACCAACCCAUGUACACCACUUCUUGUUGACUCUACCUCCUAAAACCUCUUCCACCAUCUCUACAAACAGCAUAUCCACUGAUUCUCAACUGAGGGCAAUUUUACUUCUCAGGGGAUAUUUGCCUAGAGUUGUCACAACAGGGGGCAGGGGGUGCUACUGACAUCCAGUCUGUAGAGACCAGGGAGAAUUCUAAACAUCCUACAGUUCUCAGGACAGCCCCAACAGCAAAGAUUAUACAUCUCCAAAUGUCACUAGUGCUGCAGUGAAGAAAUCCUAGUCCAGUUCCAGUCAGCAUCAUCUCCCACCUAAGCUGAUGUCACAAACCCGAUGCAACUCUCCAUACCCACCUGACUCUCUCCAAUCCAUUCUCCACUCCACAUUGCCAUAAUGAUCUUUUAAAAAGGCAAAAGUAGUGUCUCUCCUUAAAGUCUACCUGUGGCAUCCCAAUUCCUUUAUAGAUAAAUUAGAAACUUGACUUGGCCAGAAAAUUCCAUGUGUUUAUCUAGCUUCAGGUCACUCUUUCCAUUUAUCUCAGCUUUCUUCUCUCGCCUAUUAAGUGACAGGGUCCUUUUCCUUUCCAGAGUUCUCUAACCUAUGUGGUUCUCAUAUUUCCUUCACACCCUUGCUCAAAUGUCAAGACCUUCCCUGACUGUCCCAACUCUCCAUCCCUCCUACCCUUGCUUUGAUUUUUCCCAUAGCACUUACCACCACUUGAUACGUCAUAUAGUCAUUUGUUUACUUGUGUGUUUUCUGUCUUUCCGCAGCCAGAAUUAAGCUCCAUUAUAAUAGGGAAGUCUGUUUUUUGUUUACUGUUAUAUCACGACUGCCUAUAACUGUGCCCAGCACAUAGUAGGUACUCAAUAAACAUUUAGUGAAUGAAUAGACAGAAGAAAAAUAUGUGUGUAUACAUAUAUAUAUGCAUAUUAUUCUUUUAUAUUAAUUCAAAUAAAACUACUAUGUAUAGCAUAAAGGAAAUUUUGCCACUUUCUUUGACUGAACUUUGAUAUCAGACAAUCAUAUGUCAAGACUGAGGUGAAACCUAACCUAAAGCAAUUAAAGUGCUGAUCCUGCCCAGGCACUGCCUCAUGGCUGCAUGGCCUCUGACAUCCAGGCCACAUAGACCAGGCAAGUCAGCCAGAAGCAGAAACUAAGCACCUCUUCACACAAGGGCCGACAUUCACAUUGAACUAGAAAUCAGAUGCAUUGGACUAAUUCCUUGUUUGUUGAUGAGAUUUAUUAUUAAAAUCUAGAUGGACCAGAAAAUCCAGGAAACAUGGCUAUUAAAAACCACAUGCCCUCCC